GCCCAGCUAGCUCAGUCAGUAGAGCAUGAGACUCUUAAUCUCAGGGUUGUGGAAUCAAGCACCACACUGGGCA
rnacentral:tRNA from 1 species